UACGUAGGGUGCGAGCGUUAAUCGGAAUUACUGGGCGUAAAGGGUGCGCAGGCGGUUCUGCAAGUCAGGCGUGAAAGCCCCGGGCUUAACCUGGGAAUGGCGCUUGAAACUACAGGACUGGAGUAUGGCAGAGGGAGGUGGAAUUCCACGUGUAGCGGUGAAAUGCGUAGAGAUGUGGAGGAACACCGAUGGCGAAGGCAGCCUCCUGGGCCAAUACUGACGCUCAUGCACGAAAGCGUGGGGAGCAAACAG
rnacentral:rRNA from 1 species